CCUACGGGUGGCUGCAGUGGGGGAUAUUGCACAAUGGGGGAAACCCUGAUGCAGCGACGCCGCGUGAGUGAAGAAGGAUUUCGGGAUGUAAAGCCCUAUCAGCAGGGAAGAAAAUGACGGUACCUGACCAAGAAGCCCCGGCUAACUACGUGCCAGCAGCCGCGGUAAUACGUAGGGGGCAAGCGUUAUCCGGAGUUACUGGGUGUAAAGGGGGGGUAGAGGGGUAUGUAAGUGCGGAGUGAAAGCCCGGGGCCCAACCCCGGGACUGCUUUGGAAACUGUGUAACUGGAGUACAGGAGGGGUAGGCGGAAUGCCUGGUGUAGCGGUGAAAUGCGUAGAUAUCAGGAGGAACACCGGCGGCGAAGGCAGCAUGCUGGACCGAAACUGACGUUGAGGCUCGAAAGCGUGGGGAGCAAACAGGAUUAGAUACCCCAGUAGUC
rnacentral:rRNA from 1 species